rnacentral:rRNA from 1 species
AAUAGAUACCCGGGUAGUCCACGCCGUAAACGAUGAGUGCUAAGUGUUGGGGGGUUUCCGCCCCUCAGUGCUGCAGCUAACGCAUUAAGCACUCCGCCUGGGGAGUACGGUCGCAAGACUGAAACUCAAAGGAAUUGACGGGGGCCCGCACAAGCGGUGGAGCAUGUGGUUUAAUUCGAAGCAACGCGAAGAACCUUACCAGGUCUUGACAUCCCGGUGACCACUAUGGAGACAUAGUUUCCCCUUCGGGGGCAACGGUGACAGGUGGUGCAUGGUUGUCGUCAGCUCGUGUCAUGAGAUGUUGGGUUAAGUCCCGCAACGAGCGCAACCCUUAUUCUUAGUUGCCAUCAUUCAGUUGGGCACUCUAAGGAGACUGCCGGUGAUAAACCGGAGGAAGGUGAGGAUGGACGUCAAAUCAUCAUGCCCCUUAUGACCUGGGCUACACACGUGCUACAAUGGACGGUACAAACGGUUGCCAACCCGCGAGGGGGAGCUAAUCCGAUAAAACCGUUCUCAGUUCGGAUUGUAGGCUGCAACUCGCCUAC